rnacentral:rRNA from 1 species
AUUGAACGCUGGCGGCAUGCCUUACACAUGCAAGUCGAACGGUAACGCGGGGCAACCUGGCGACGAGUGGCGAACGGGUGAGUAAUGCAUCGGAACGUGCCCGGUAGUGGGGGAUAACUGCUCGAAAGAGCAGCUAAUACCGCAUACGACCUGAGGGUGAAAGGGGGGGAUCGCAAGACCUCUCGCUAUCGGAGCGGCCGAUGUCGGAUUAGCUAGUUGGUGGGGUAAAGGCCCACCAAGGCAACGAUCCGUAGCUGGUCUGAGAGGACGACCAGCCACACUGGGACUGAGACACGGCCCAGACUCCUACGGGAGGCAGCAGUGGGGAAUUUUGGACAAUGGACGCAAGUCUGAUCCAGCCAUGCCGCGUGCGGGAAGAAGGCCUUCGGGUUGUAAACCGCUUUUGUCAGGGAAGAAAUCUUCUGGGUUAAUACCUCGGGAGGAUGACGGUACCUGAAGAAUAAGCACCGGCUAACUACGUGCCAGCCGCCGCGGUAACAC